AAGUUUCCUGGGAAGUCCGGCUGCCUUAGCGCCCGCAGUCAGUUCCAUCCAACAUGGCAGUGUCAGGACGAGUCCAUUCUUGUGGAAUGGGGGUUACGGCUUCCUACGGCUGCGUCCCACGCACUUCAAAAUAAACCAGUGUGGUACGGUCCCGUCCGCCCCUGGCUUUUAUAACAGGAAUGUGUGCAGUUCAGAUUGGGAGGAGGUAAGACACAAGGUGCACGUUGCCAGCAUAAUAAAAAGAGUGUGAGCUCCUUCAGAAACUCAAAUUAAUGCAAAUCUAAAAGCACCUUUAAAGCACCCGAUUAAAAUUUUAAUCAUGAGAUAAGAUUGUGCUGCUUAAUGCACUCAGAAAAGAGCACUGUAAGGAUUCAUUCCCUCUGGAUUUGAGUCUUAAUUUUCUGAAAGCUGCUAGGAUGAUUCAUCACAAUGCACUAAAUAUAGUCCAUAAUACAUUUAAGUCAAAUUAAGACCGCUCUAGUUACUUUCGGCACCUUCAGGGGGUUGAGGCAUAUAUAUUUAGUCUAAUGUUCCCACGUCAUCCCCAAGAUAUUAUAUAUUUGCAUCAUCUUCCACUUUUUAAAAUGGGUUAUUAUUUCCCCUCCAAAUGAAAUUGCCUAAUAGCCAUUUAUGACUAUUUGCUUGCAUGACUCAUGCUUAUUUCAAUGGCAAGCCUGAGGAUAUUUCUUGCAACAUGCUCAGUCAGGUUCAUCAAUGAGGUGCUACGCUUAAUGGCGCUGUAGUGAGAAUAAAAGAAAUUCCUCUCCGGAUAUAAAACGUCGAUACAACCUUGAGACCAGAUAAAUAAAAAAGAAACAACUGAAAUGAUGUGGUUGCAUAAGUGCGCACACCCAUUUGAACAAGGGUGUGUAGACUUUUUCUCACCUACCGGAUUUUUCUUUAUUUUUAUUUCUGAUUCACUUUAACAGCGUUAACAAAAAAAUGUGCCGGUAUUCUUCCUCGUGGUCUUUGGUCAACCCAAUUUCACUACACUGCACUGCUUGACCAACUUGAAAAACCUGACUGACAAGUGAAAGAAAAAGAAAAACGCCGGAAAUGCUUCAUCGCUCUACCUGGUUUGAUUUUUGAGAUUGCCACACAGAGAGAACACGACUGUCUUCACUUCCCUUUCGAUGGGAGUUCUGAAACAUCUCGUGCUCUGCUUGUGUCGGCUUUCAUCACCAAAUACCUCGAAGGAAUAAUAUUCUGAAUUGAAUCAUCACGAGCGAGAAAGACAGGAAUGGAGAACAAGAGAGACAACGGCAGAUAACGAGAGCGAGAGGGAGGAGUGUUCACCAUAUCUGCCUCCAACUAUCCUUCUAAUCUUAAAACACCCCUCAGAAAUCUGCUGGAUCAAAAGCCCAACUCAACCAUCAUCCAUCUGCCAGCCAGGGUGUGUCUGACAAUAGGCUGCUUCAAAUGGGUCAACUCAAAUGACCUCUUUUGACUGCGGACUCUCAAUAAAAUGUGCAAUGGAUGUUUUUAUGUUUGUUUUUUGAGGUGUGACGCUUAUGAAAAAUAAAGCCGAAAGCAACAAUGAAGACUGUAAAGAUUGAAGGAAUGUCAGAGCUCGGGUGGGUACAACAGUCGCCCUCAGCGGGAGCCAGCAAUUCUCCAUGUGGGAUAAUGUCCGUCUACACUCCUCUGGAGAUUCAGCAGAAUUCACCGGUGGUGUGCUUGGACGAAAUAAAAAAAAAGGAAGUGUCACAGCUGUAGUCAAGAUGUGUCUCGUGUGACGCAUUCUGGCCGCCAGUGAAAAGCCUGACCAGAAGCAAGACCAGACAACCAGCCAUACUGCAUCUUCCUACCUCGUUGGCGCCCUUGCAAUAUGCAGUUUCCGUCACAUAUGUUUGGGCUGAUUGUUCUCCACGUGCCACCGCUCUCGACACAAAGAUCCAAUUACUGACCGGCGUCCGUCUGAUGGCGAAGCCGCACUCCAGAACAAAUCCAAGCUCGGCUGCAGUUGCACCGUUGCUUUGAUGAAGUCCAUCCUCUUCAGAAGUCUGCUGUUUUCCUGAAAACGACGUCACGUUAUGCACGACCCACCAAAUAAGAUGAAGCUGAGACUUGCAGCUCUGUUGAGGCGAGCCAGGUCAACAUGUCGUCGUCCAGAUCAAUCAGGCCUUGUUCGCCAUUCGGUGGCUGGUGUUUGGGGCAACUGCUGCUGAUGUGCUCUACUGUCUGGACUGGGUGCCCACACUCACAGGAGGCACUAUCUGCGAGUCCCCACCUCUUCAUUGCAGCUCCAUAGCGAUCAACGCCGGUCCUCAGGCGCUUGAGGGUUGUCCACUGUUUCCGGGGCAAGUCCUGGCCAGAGACGUCUGUGGGGUCAUUGAUGUAAUGGUGCAGCCUAGAUGGUUCUGCUGACUUCCACUGUUCUCUCCAUAUGGUCUUGACCCAGGUAGCCUUGGAAGUGUCAGCUGAUGUUGUGCUGAGCAGCUCAUGGGCUUGGAUGGCAAAGGGGCGUCGUGACUUUAGGCGCACGCGUCGUGGUGUCUCUGUGACGAUCUUAUGGAGGAGGUGGGAUUCACUGGUCUGUGCCUUUCGGGAGAGGGCCAGCGUGGCUGCUUCUCGUCUGAUGUCACUUAUGAUCCCGAAGGUGAAGCUCUUGAUAUCUGUGAUAUCUGAUAUAUCUGUGUUGUAUUAUUGUACAGCAGUGCUUCUCAAUUAUUUUCUGUGAUGCCCCCCCAGGGAGAAGAAAACAUUUUGCGCCCCCCCCCCCCUCCAUGUUAUUAACCUUAGAGAAAACGAAAAAUAAAUAAAAAAGUUCAAUUUUAUAAAUAUUAUAUUAGAUGAUUAUCUGUUCAAUAAUUUUGUGUGCUAGUGUUGGCUCGUGAAUGAACGAUUCGUUCAAAAGACCGAAUCUUGUGAAUCAGUGAAGUGAUUCGUUCUUUUUUCAGUUAUGACUUCAACCAGUAGGUGUCGGUAAUGCGCAUUGAUUGAUUUUAUAACACUUAAGAUAACGUGUGUGCAUAUAUACGCCUAAAUAUUAUCCAAUAUAUCUACUGCAAUUUCACAUUAGAUUGCUGGUUUGAAAUUUACUUUUUUUAUUAUUAUUU